AGACGCUAGGUGGCGCUGGUUGACUGGGGCAGCCCAGAACACUGGGGAGACUAGAUCGAUAGGGCUGCACAGAGGUGGCACAGUUGUGCCAGAGGGCCAGACUUUGGCAGCGUGUAAGGUCUGAGGACAGGGGCACCGGAGGCCGAGGAUGAGAGGCCAGUGCCUGUUUCCAGGCAGCCAGGGCCUCAGAAACUCCGGCCGGAGCACUCACCCGUCGGUGGAGGCCGUUACCAGGGCCACCUUAUUUGCGAGCGGGUCCCGGCGGGUCAUCCCGGAGCUGGCCAUCCGCACCGAAUUCCAAGCCCGGGCACAGAGGCCUAGCAGCCCCGCCUUGUGCAUGGAUCAGACCAGCAAGUAUGGGUUCCACUCUUCCCAGGGGCGGUGACAGAGUAGGGCGAGGGGCAGGACGAAGGGCGGGCCGAUUCCCUGCCCGCCCUGCUCCCCGCCCCGGUACCGCUGUGAGCGGUCUGUGGCCCUGGGCACCUCCAUCCGCCGCGGCGCCCCUCCACCAUCUACCUUCCGCCUGACUGGGGCUUGCCUUUCCGGGCUGGCGGGUGAGCUCUCCGUUCAAGUUGCCUGUAGGGCUCGCCCCUCCCCUGGCCCUUGCAGGAACCCGCAGGCUUUGGCUGCUGCCUUUCUGCAUCUGCUUGCCCACCUUUUCUUCUCUGGGAAGUGGGGGUUUUGAGUUGGUUGCUUUUGCUUCUUCAGAAUUCCUUCUCCAAGAAAGUCUGGGUCUAUGUGUGUGACAGCCCACAGGAGGGCAAAUGUUUUGAGACUGCCCAUGGAGGUGAGGCCUGUGGUCGCCAUGGAGUCCACCAGGUGAGGCUGGAAGAGCCUGGGAGAGAGACGUGAUAGGGAGUAGCUGCGCCAGGCCUGGCACUGCCCUUCACUCUGCCCAAGGUCUCUUCCAUCUUCACGGGCCCUGGAGGGCAGACUAUGGUCAUUGGCCAAACAGCAUUCUCAUGUCCGUUGACAAAGGGACUUCCUCCUUUACAGGGGCUAAGUGGUAGCGAGGAGGCUGGACAGUCCCUCAAGCAGUGGUGGAAAUGCAAAGAACUCGGGGCACUCAAGUUCUCCCUAACCACUCUGUCCCCAGGUCUUAGCCGCCAUCUUAGUUCAAUAAAUAUUUGUUGAAUGCAAAA
rnacentral:lncRNA from 1 species